rnacentral:rRNA from 1 species
CCUACGGGAGGCAGCAGUGGGGAAUUUUGGACAAUGGGCGCAAGCCUGAUCCAGCAAUGCCGCGUGAGUGAAGAAGGCCUUCGGGUUGUAAAGCUCUUUUGUGGAACGUUCGGUACCUGAAGAAUAAGCACCGGCUAACUACGUGCCAGCAGCCGCGGUAAUACGUAGGGUGCAAGCGUUAAUCGGAAUUACUGGGCGUAAAGCGUGCGCAGGCGGUUUUGUAAGUCUGUCGUGAAAUCCCCGGGCUCAACCUGGGAAUGGCGAUGGAGACUGCAAGGCUAGAAUCUGGCAGAGGGGGGUAGAAUUCCACGUGUAGCAGUGAAAUGCGUAGAUAUGUGGAGGAACACCGAUGGCGAAGGCAGCCCCCUGGGCUAAAUUGACGCUCAUGCACGAAAGCGUGGGGAGCAAACAGGAUUAGAUACCCUAGUAGUC